GAUCCUGGCUCAGAUUGAACGCUGGCGGCAUGCUUUACACAUGCAAGUCGAACGGUAACAGGGGAGCUUGCUCCCGCUGACGAGUGGCGAACGGGUGAGUAAUGCAUCGGAACGUGCCGAAUAGUGGGGGAUAACGCACCGAAAGGUGUGCUAAUACCGCAUACGCCCUGAGGGGGAAAAUGGGGGACCGCAAGGCCUCACGCUAAUUGAGCGGCCGAUGUCGGAUUAGCUAGUUGGUGGGGUAAAGG
rnacentral:rRNA from 1 species